rnacentral:lncRNA from 1 species
GCAAUGUCAUAUUGAUCAUUUGCAAAACGUGCUCCUCAGUUUGUAAUUUAUUUUUUUCUUUUUAAGUUUUCGUUUCAGUCCCAUACAAUCAAAAACCUACCAAAAGUCACAUAACCCACUCUGAAAACACGCUUUAAAUCAUGAGCAUAUCACCUCUGAAAAAUGCCUCUAGCCCUAACCCCCAAAUUCUCCACAUAAUCUAGCAACCCAUGAAAUUGGAGGCCAUUUUCGGAAAAGAU